GAGUUUGAUCCUGGCUCAGAUUGAACGCUGGCGGCAGGCCUAACACAUGCAAGUCGAGCGGAAACGAGUUAACUGAACCUUCGGGGAACGUUAACGGCGUCGAGCGGCGGACGGGUGAGUAAUGCCUGGGAAAUUGCCCUGAUGUGGGGGAUAACCAUUGGAAACGAUGGCUAAUACCGCAUAAUAGCUUCGGCUCAAAGAGGGGGAUCUUCGGGCCUCUCGCGUCAGGAUAUGCCCAGGUGGGAUUAGCUAGUUGGUGAGGUAAUGGCUCACCAAGGCGACGAUCCCUAGCUGGUCUGAGAGGAUGAUCAGCCACACUGGAACUGAGACACGGUCCAGACUCCUACGGGAGGCAGCAGUGGGGAAUAUUGCACAAUGGGCGCAAGCCUGAUGCAGCCAUGCCGCGUGUAUGAAGAAGGCCUUCGGGUUGUAAAGUACUUUCAGCAGUGAGGAAGGUGGGUAUGUUAAUAGCAUAUUCAUUUGACGUUAGCUGCACAAUAAGCACCGGCUAACUCCGUGCCAGCAGCCGCGGUAAUACGGAGGGUGCGAGCGUUAAUCGGAAUUACUGGGGGGAAAGCGCAUGCACGUGCUUUGUUAAUUCAAAUGU
rnacentral:rRNA from 1 species